GACGAACGCUUGCGGCGCGCUUAAUACAUGCAAGUCGAACGGAAAGGCCCUGCUUUCGUGGGGUGCUCGAGUGGCGAACGCGUGAGUAACACGUGAGUAACCUGCCCUUGACUCUGGGAUAACCUCAGGAAUCUUGCGCUAAUACCGGAUAGGAGCUCCUGCUGCAUGGUGGGGGCUGGACAGUUUCGGCGGUUGGGUAUGGACUCGCGGCUUACCAGCUUUUUGGUGGGGUAGUGGCUUACCAAGGACUCGACGGGUAGCCGGCCUGAGAGGGUGACCAGCCACAUUGGGACUAGGAUACGGCCCAGACUCCUACGGGAGGCAGCAGUGGAGAAUAUUGCACAGUGGGCGGAAGCCUGAUGCAGCAGCGCCGCGUGCGGGAUGGCGGCCUUCGGGUUGUAAACCGCUUUCGCCUGUGACGAAGCGUGAGGGACGGUAAUGAGUAAAGAAACACCGGCUAACUACGUG
rnacentral:rRNA from 1 species